UACGGAGGGAGCUAGCGUUGUUCGGAAUUACUGGGCGUAAAGCGCGCGUAGGCGGCUUUGUAAGUUAGAGGUGAAAGCCUGGAGCUCAACUUCAGAAUUGCCUUUAAGACUGCAUCGCUUGAAUCCGGGAGAGGUGAGUGGAAUUCCGAGUGUAGAGGUGAAAUUCGUAGAUAUUCGGAAGAACACCAGUGGCGAAGGCGGCUCACUGGACCGGCAUUGACGCUGAGGUGCGAAAGCGUGGGGAGCAAACAGG
rnacentral:rRNA from 1 species